rnacentral:misc_RNA from 1 species
GAUGAAGAACGCAGCGAAAUGCGAUAAGUAAUGCGAAUUGCAGAAUCCGUGAGUCAUCGAAUCUUUGAACGCACAUUGCGCCCCCUGGUAUUCCGGGGGGCAUGCCUGUCCGAGCGUCAUUGCUGCCCUCAAGCACGGCUUGUGUGUUGGGCCUCCGUCCUCCUCCCGGGGGACGGGCCCGAAAGGCAGCGGCGGCACCGCGUCCGGUCCUCGAGCGUAUGGGGCUUCGUCACCCGCUCUUGUAGGCCCGGCCGGCGCUUGCCGACACAUCAAUCUUUUUUCCAGGUUGACCUCGGAUCAGGUAGGGAUACCCGCUGAACUUAAGCAUAUCAAUAAGCGGAGGA